CCAUAAAGCUUACAUGUGGCGGUGGGGCUCAGCGGCUUUUGACAGAAAGAUUUAUCGUAACAGAAAGGAUUGGAAUUCACAUUCAGAAGUCAGCAAAGACGGGGGAGUCCACUGCUGCUAUGAACUUGCUGUUUAUCAACUGGGCCUCUAGAGGACACUCCUUUCUAAAAGGAAAGUGAUGCACACUGCAGAGUGCCUAUAAUCAGAAGGAGUGAGCUGCAGGAGAUCAGCCCAAAGGUCUCUUGCAGUGCAAUCUGCUCCUCCCACAGUUUUCUCUUCUCCAUUCUCAACAUAUGGACAUUGUUUUUCACCUGAGUCAAGUCUCGGAGGAUCAGGCUGUGCAGGUAACUGAACCAACAUCCACAAAUGGUAAGACCCAGCCAGCCUCCAUUUGCUAUCCAUACCUCCAAGUCCCAGGCCCCCAGUCAGCCCAAGACUGCAACUCACAAUAGCCAAGUCAGCAUUACUCAGAAGCAGGACAAAUCCAGACAAUAAGCAAAUUCCAGAAAUUUUCAAAGUACUUCUGAAAACCUUGGCACCAAAAGCUUUACUGUGCCCCUGAGAAGAGGAUAAAGCCCACACCUGUGCUUACCUUUUCAUGUUAUUGAGAAAACAUCAACAGUAGGGGGCAAACUCUCUGGACAAGGACAAAAGUCCCAACCAGAUUGAAUCCUGUCUAUAGGUCCCAUGUAAACCAUCUCUGUGAAGCCUCACCUGAGCCUGAGAGUCUCUGGGCUGCCUGGCAUCCCCUUCAUGGUGCAAACCAUUUUUUAUGUAGGGGCUCCUACCUAGGAGGGCCUUAGUGU